rnacentral:tRNA from 1 species
UAGAUAUACCCGGAAUCGAACCCGGGCCGCCCGCGUGGCAGACGAGCAUUCUACCACUGAACCACC